rnacentral:tRNA from 1 species
GUGGUUGUGGCUCAGUGAUAGAGCGCUUGCCUAGCAUGUAUGAGGCACUGGGUUUGAGCCUCAGCACCACA